CCAAUCAGCACAACCAUACCCUCAUUAAUCUGAAGAAAUGAAGCCUCUAGAGUGUAUACUUUGGCUGCAAGGACAAAAGUUCCAUAUUUUUUUAACCAGAUUCCUGCGAUGCCCCACACUCUAGCCUCGAGCUCUCCACUCUAGCAGACGCAAUACACACUCAUGUAAAAGUCAGAAACGGAGCGAAGAACUAGUGAAACAUAAUCAGUGAUUAUGAAAAAAGUACAAUAGAUAUCAAGAAGCAGUUUUUUUCAUAAAAUAGUUGAGACUUGUGUGAACAUUUGAGAGUUGAAAUGGUGUCUGUAGCUGAAAGAUUGGCGAAGCUGAAAAAUCUGAAAGUUGAAGAAGUUGAAGAGGAUUUGAAAAGCAAACUCCAUUUGAAAACCAUGUUAAAAUAUUAACGAUUAUUGAUUUAUAUAAAUUCAAGCUUAAGAGGUAGAAAGCUGAAAAGUCAUAGCCCGGAAGCCAGAAAGAAGCUGAACAUUUUAAUAUUUGAAGGAUUUUAAUAGCUGAAAGUGUGAAGGAGUUGAAAGGUGGCACGGAAGAAAUAGAAGAAUAAUAAUAAUAAUAAUAAUAAUAAGCAUUUCCUGCUGAAAAUGCGUUGGAAUGCAAAAAGCUGAAAGCUGCACUGAAUAUUUAAAAAUAGCUGAAAAUACAGAAAGUUGAAGGGAAUUUGAAUACAUUUGCUGAAUAUUUAAAAAUAGCUGAAAAUACAGAAAGUUGAAGGGAAUUUGAGUACAUUUGCUGAAUAUUUGAAAAUAGCUGAAAAUACAGAAAGUUGAAGGGAAUUUGAAUACAUUUGCUGAAAAGCUGAAAUGAAUUUGAAAUUGCUGAAAAUACAGAAAUGGGAGAAGCUGAAAGGAAUUUCAAUAGAUUUGCUGAAAAAGCAGAAAUGAAAACAGCUGAAAUAAAUUUGAAAUAUUGCAAAAAAAUACAGAAAUGAAUAUUAAAAAAUUGCUGUUGAUAGAGGCAUAAGAAUAGCUGAAAUUAUUUUAAAGAACUGCUGAAAAUACAGGAAGUGGGGAAGCUGAAUUUCAAUAGAUUUUCUAAAAACAGAAGUUGCAGGAGCUUAAAUUUGUUUAAAAUUGUUUGUAGUAAUAUUAGUAGUAGUAUUAGUUAUAAUUGUGGUAUUAGUAGUACUAGCAGUAAUAGUAGGUUUAGUAUCAAUAGCAGUAGAAACAGCUGUAAUACUAUUAGCCAUAGUCGUAUUUGUAAUAACAUUAGUAGUAGUUGUAGUAUUAAUAGCAGUAGAAAUACUAGUAGUAUGGUAGUAGAAGUAUCAGUUGUAGUACUAGAAG
ensembl:lncRNA